rnacentral:rRNA from 1 species
GGAGGCAGCAGUAGGGAAUCUUCCGCAAUGGGCGAAAGCCUGACGGAGCAACGCCGCGUGAGUGAUGAAGGUCUUCGGAUCGUAAAACUCUGUUAUUAGGGAAGAACAUAUGUGUAAGUAACUGUGCACAUCUUGACGGUACCUAAUCAGAAAGCCACGGCUAACUACGUGCCAGCAGCCGCGGUAAUA